rnacentral:rRNA from 1 species
CGGGGCUUGACGUGCACCGGACCGUCAUGGAGACAUGGCUUCCCUUCGGGGCUGGUGCAUUAGGUGCUGCACAGCUGUCGUCAGCUCGUGCCGUGAGGUGUUGGGUUAAGUCCUCUAACGAGCGCAACCCCUAUCCACAGUUGCCAUCAGGUGAUGCUGGGCACUCUGCGGAGACUGCCGGUGACAAACCGGAGGAAGGUGGGGAUGACGUCAAGUCAGCGUGGCCCUUACGUCCCGGGCUGCAAACGUGCUACAAUGGCUGGUACAAAAGGCCGCAAUACCGCGAGGUGGAGCAAAUCCUCUAAAACCAGUCUCAGUCCGGAUUGUAGUCUGCAACUCGACUGCAUGAAGUCGGAAUCGCUAGUAAUCGCGGAUCAGCACGCCACGGUGAAUACGUUCCC